UUACUGAGUUUACGCUCUAUAACCCUUUGUGAACAUACCUAUAACUGUUGCUUCGGCGGGCAGGGUCUCCGUGACCCUCCCGGCCUCCCGCCCCCGGGCGGGUCGGCGCCCGCCGGAGGAUAACCAAACUCUGAUUUAACGACGUUUCUUCUGAGUGGUACAAGCAAAUAAUCAAAACUUUUAACAACGGAUCUCUUGGUUCUGGCAUCGAUGAAGAACGCAGCGAAAUGCGAUAAGUAAUGUGAAUUGCAGAAUUCAGUGAAUCAUCGAAUCUUUGAACGCACAUUGCGCCCGCCAGCAUUCUGGCGGGCAUGCCUGUUCGAGCGUCAUUUCAACCCUCAAGCUCUGCUUGGUGUUGGGGCCCUACAGCUGAUGUAGGCCCUCAAAGGUAGUGGCGGACCCUCCCGGAGCCUCCUUUGCGUAGUAACUUUACGUCUCGCACUGGGAUCCGGAGGGACUCUUGCCGUAAAACCCCCCAAUUUUCCAAAGGUUGACCUCGGAUCAGGUAGGAAUACCCGCUGAACUUAAGCAUAUCAAUAAGCGGAGGAAAAGAAACCAACAGGGAUUGCCUCAGUAACGGCGAGUGAAGCGGCAACAGCUCAAAUUUGAAAU
rnacentral:rRNA from 1 species